AUAUGCUAGCUGUUGGUUUAUCAUAGAUUGCACUUACUAUUUUGAGGUAUGUUCCUUAUAUACCUUGGUGUUUCAGAGUUUUUGUCAAGAAGUGAUGCUGGAUUUUAUCAAAAAGUUUUUCUGCAUCUAAUGAUAUAAUCAUGUGGUUCUUCUUUUUACAUCUGUUGAAGUAUGUAAUUGCAUUUAUGGUCUUGCAGAUGUUGAACCAGCCAUGCAUCCUGGGGUCGAUGCUUGCUUGGUAAUGGUGAAUGGUUUUUGAGAUGUGUUGUUGGGUCUCAUUUGCUAGAAUCUUGUUGAGAAUUUUUGCAUCUAUGUUCAUAAUUAAAUGACCAUGAAAUAACUGAUAGGAAUGAAAUAGCUAAUGAAAUAACUGAAAUAGCUUGCCUGGCAUAAGUAACUUCAUUUUGUUUAAAUCCUCCAACUUAGUUGCCUGCCUAAGAAUAACCCCCCAAUGUGUUAUUGCUGUAACAUUCCCAUGACAACAGACCUAUAGCUUUGUUCCCGAGCUGAUCAUGCUGACCGUUCCUGCUGUUUACAAAACUCCCUAGUCACAAGUUCCAUGUAAUUGUAUGCUUUGAUAACUGAAAUCAGAUAUUGUGUCAAAAUUGUUUAUCAAUUAUUCCUUGCAAGAUUCCCCUACCACAUCCCUAUAAUUUUUUCCUAUAUUUUGUUCCUUUUUGGUUUUAGUUCCUCAUUCCCUCACCCCCUUGCUCACCCCCCUGCUAUGUAACCUACUUGGAGAUUUUACCUAUAAAAGCUUCUUACAAAUUCCACUCAAGCAUCAAGAGCCUCCUGGUGUGAGCCUACGCUUGACUGUAUGCUUAAUAAGACUUGUGAUUUGGACUCGGCAUACUGGUGUGUCUUUUUCUCGCAAUUAGGUCAUAAUAUUUGGAGACCCAAGUAAGAAAUCCACCAGUAUACAUGAGUGCCUCACUCUAGCCCUCCCUGGUCAAGAGGAGAGGUUGUAGGGGAGGUGCCUCCUGAGAUUCUCAGGCCCUGAAAGCUCUCAUCUGACUCUGAGGGAGUUGGAAUGACUACUUGCAACUACUGCCUCAAAAGAACCUAAGUCUGUCUACGGUCUCCCAGGAGAAAGUCCCUCCACCAGAGGGGACAGAUCAGAACAAGUGGUUGUUUUUGGUGUAUACCCCAUUUUCUUCUUCUGAUUUAUCUAACUGCCUUGUCAUUCAUUCAAGCCCGAUGACCUGGUUUUUGUCAAAAAGUUCCAAAAAGAAGGAUUAACUCCUGCCUGGAAGAGACUGUUUCUCAUCAUCCUUACCACUCAAACUGCAAUCAAGGUCGAUGGGAUACCAGCCUGGAUUCACACACCUGAGUCAAAAAAGGCCAAGGAGACUGACAUAAUUCCACCAGCUCACUCCAUUGACUUUGCUGCAGCUUGAGGAACCCUAAAUAUUCAUUCCCUUGCUCAACAAGGGGAAACAACCACAAUUCAGCCAACUGGACUGCAACUAAAGACUCCAAGAACCCUCUCAAGAUCACUUUUUGAUUUAUAUCUGAACCAUGAGAAUCAAAUAAAUUGGUGGCUAAUUUUAUUUUAAA